UGCAGUCGGGCGGUAACAGGGGAAGCUUGCUUCNCUGCNUGACGAGCGGCGGNNGGGUGAGUAAUGCAUAGGAAUCUGCCUGAUAGUGGGGGAUAGCCCAGAGAAAUUUGGAUUAAUACCGCAUACGCCCUACGGGGGAAAGCAGGGGAUCUUCGGACCUUGCGCUAUCAGAUGAGCCUAUGUCGGAUUAGCUAGUUGGUGAGGUAACGGCUCACCAAGGCNACNAUCCGUANCUGGUCUGAAAGGAUGAUCAGCCNCACUGGGACUGANACNCGGCCCANACUCCUACNGGAGGCAGCAGNGGGGAAUAUUGGACNAUGGGCNCAAGCCUGAUCCAGCCNUGC
rnacentral:rRNA from 1 species